rnacentral:rRNA from 1 species
AUUGAACGCUGGCGGCAGGCCUAACACAUGCAAGUCGAGCGAGCGGCGGACGGGUGAGUAAUGUAUGGGGACUGCCCGAUAGAGGGGGAAAACUAAUGGAAACGGUGGCUAAUACCGCAUAAUAUCGCCUAAUCCAUAUGGGAUUAGCUAGUAGGUGGGGUAAAGGCUCACUUGGGCGACGAACUCUAGCUGGUCUGAGAGGAUGAGCAGCCACACUGGGAGUGAGACACGGCCCAGACUCCGACGGAGGCAGCAGUGGGGAAUAUUGGACAAUGGGGGCAAGCCUGAUGCAGCCAGGCCGCUUGGAUGAAGAAGGCCUUAGGGUUGUAAAGUACUUUCAGCGGGGAGGCGUUACCCGCAGAAGAAGCACCGGCUAACUCCGUGCCAGCAGCCGCGGUAAUAC